rnacentral:lncRNA from 1 species
AAUUAUCUUAAAUGCUACAUUUUACAUAAAUACUUUGGUUUGCCAGAAAAACUAGGCGAGACCCGAAGCUCAGAAAUUUACAACUGAUACAUCUACUAUUACUACUGCGGAGAAUCUAAGAUUUACCAAUUUACAUACCAAAUCAAAUACAUCACCCGAUGAUGAAGGAGUCGGGUUACUGAAUAAGAGUCGCGAGAGAACUAACAGUCACGAAUCUGAAAAACAAUAAAUGGAGACUGUCAGUCUCGAGAGUGAGUUAAAAUCAUAUAUCUAAAACAGUUUCAAAUAUCUCAAUGUCACAUUCAUUUAAUUUUAAAAUAAUUAAUAAAUCACGCGAACUAUACGUGUCAUGUUAAAACAUAUGUGUCAUGCCAUGCUUAAACAAAAUUUAUUCCACAUGCAACGGGACAGAGUACUUCAGUAGAACUCUAAUCCCAACUCUAAAAUCUCAAUUAUUUCAACACUUAUGUCUCAACUAACCUCAACUCUAUCAUCUCAAACCUCUCAUUCCAACAGGACUGGCGCCCAGAGAGCAAAGCUCGACCAGGGACCUUACCUCCAGUCCGGUCACUUAACUCUCAGCCUUAGCCUUUUGGCUCUCUUAUCCAAUAAGAUUGGCGCCCCGAGAGCAA